rnacentral:lncRNA from 1 species
AGCUGGUCUUUUUGCUGUCACAUCACAUGUUAGCCCACCUCCUACAGGGAAUAGUCUACAGCACUUCAUGGGCUUCUUUUUGGAACAUGGUUCUCAUAUUCGACCCAUCAUGAAGAUCCCCAAGGAGCUUAUGAGAAAUAAAUUCCUGGGCCCAAGCUCGGACAUACUCAAUCUGAAUUUCUGGAAUGGGUCCUAGAGAGCCAUAGCUUUAUCACACUCUCUGGGAGAUUCUGAAGAUGAAUCAGGUCUAGAAACUGUAAACCUGAAAGAAUAACUUAGAUUAUUUCCCCUAAACUUGCUGUCUUGCAUUUGUCCCCAUAGAGACUCAUCUACAAUUUUCCUGCCAACUCCUGGAAUGUUGAGAGAAUAUCCUGUGAUAUAUUUCCUUUGGAAAUGCCAUGUUUGUCACUGUGCAUUCUUGACUCUCUGUUAUAAAAGCAGCCCCUGGUGGGAAGAAAGCCUGCUGACAGACUUCUCUCUCUUCGAGAGAAAGGAGAAAAAGAAAAACCAUACCUGGGCCAUGCUCAGCUCUGAAUACCUCAAAGGAAUCAUCUCUGCAACCAGGUUAGAUGAUCUAGAAUUGCUUUGUAAAAAAUCAGUUUGCUUCAGGACAUCAAGGUGGGGGUUAUAUUCUCCUCUAGGAUAGAUCUUGGGGUCCAGCUCACUCUGGAAUGCCUAAGUGCAUCCACCAUUGUUGUAACCAUCCCAUUUCAUCCCAGCUAUUUUCUUUCUGGGGAAGCCUCUUAGAUUGACAAAUGUUAUUGGAAUUGGAUGUCUGUUCUUUGAGCGGCCCCAACAUCAAUUUCACAAAUGCCACUGUUCUUUUGUUCAGCAUCCUUCAUUGGCCUCAAUGCUCAACAGGGUUUUUAGCAGCGAGGGGAGCAGAGAUGUGAGAUUAGUGUUCACCAAGGUAUUGAUCCGACGCACUGGGACACCUUUUUGGCUCCCGGUCAGAUUCUGCUCAGUGACUUACCUGACAAACACAGUUAACACUUGACAGCCAUUCUCGUUGGCAUUUCCAGUGCUCAGCUGACAAGCCACACAACUGGCAGUAUGUAUAGAUUUGUUCUUGUGGCCAGCCAUCUGGAAAGCCUUCCAGAAUAUUAAAUUAAACAGACCUUCUGUUCCUAGCCAGCUACUAAAUACACAGAGCGCCGGCACAAUAUGGCACAAGCUUUGGCAAGCCUAAAGUCUUUUACUAGAAUAAGUACAUUUCCAGCAACAUAAAAUGAACUAUCAACUUCUCCUGAACAAUCUUAGUACCUUAGGCAGAAAGAAUGGUUAGACCAAACUCAGAGAAAUCACAUGGAAAAUUUUCAAUUAGAGAGAAAAGAACCCGGAGGCUUUGAAGUGAGGGAGCUGAGUAAGAACCAGGAGAGAGAAAGGAAAGAUAAAAUUGGCUUAUAC